AGGAGGAACAGCCCCAGUGGCGGGGCAGCUCUGGAGCCCUGGAUUCAGCUCCCGCAGGAACUCCGGAGCUCUCGGUCUGCAGGGCCUGGAGGCUCCGGGGCGGG
rnacentral:pre_miRNA from 1 species